rnacentral:pre_miRNA from 1 species
CGGGCGGGUGAACCGUCGUCGUCUAUCGAGCAAUUACACCCGCUCGGUGGAAGAUCUUGCCUUUGUCGU